rnacentral:rRNA from 1 species
GAUGAACGCUGGCGGCGUGCCUAAUACAUGCAAGUCGAGCGAACAGACGAGGAGCUUGCUCCUCUGACGUUAGCGGCGGACGGGUGAGUAACACGUGGAUAACCUACCUAUAAGACUGGGAUAACUUCGGGAAACCGGAGCUAAUACCGGAUAAUAUAUUGAACCGCAUUGUUCAAUAGUGAAAGACGGUUUUGCUGUCACUUAUAGAUGGAUCCGCGCCGCAUUAGCUAGUUGGUAAGGUAACGGCUUACCAAGGCAACGAUGCGUAGCCGACCUGAGAGGGUGAUCGGCCACACUGGAACUGAGACACGGUCCAGACUCCUACGGGAGGCAGCAGUAGGGAAUCUUCCGCAAUGGGCGAAAGCCUGACGGAGCAACGCCGCGUGAGUGAUGAAGGUCUUCGGAUCGUAAAACUCUGUUAUUGGGGAAGAAAAAAUGUGUAAGUAACUAUGCACGUCUUGACGGUACCUAAUCAGAAAGCCACGGCUAACUACGUG